rnacentral:tRNA from 1 species
GCGGAUAUAGCCCAGUGGUAGAGUGUGUGCCUAACAUGCACGAGGUUCUGGGUUCAAUCCCCAGUACCUCUG